GACGAACGCUGGCGGCGUGCUUAACACAUGCAAGUCGAACGGAAAGGCCCUGCUUUUGUGGGGUGCUCGAGUGGCGAACGGGUGAGUAACACGUGAGUAACCUGCCCUUGACUUUGGGAUAACUUCAGGAAACUGGGGCUAAUACCGGAUAGGAGCUCCUGCUGCAUGGUGGGGGUUGGAAAGUUUCGGCGGUUGGGGAUGGACUCGCGGCUUAUCAGCUUGUUGGUGGGGUAGUGGCUUACCAAGGCUUUGACGGGUAGCCGGCCUGAGAGGGUGACCGGCCACAUGGGGACUGAGGGACGGCCCAGACUCCUACGGGAGGCAGCAGUGGGGAAUAUUGCACUAUGGGCGGAAGCCUGAUGCAGCAACGCCGCGUGCGGGAUGACGGCCUUCGGGUUGUAAACCGCUUUCGCCUGUGACGAAGCGUGAGUGACGGUAAUGGGUAAAGAAGCACCGGCUAACUACGUU
rnacentral:rRNA from 1 species